UUUCCGUAGGUGAACCUGCGGAAGGAUCAUUCAUAAUAAGUGUUUUAUGGCACUUUUUUAAAUCCAUAUCCACCUUGUGUGUAAUGUCAGGGUUGAUUUUCCUCUCGAGAGGAUCAACCCCAAACAUCAACUAUAUCUCAACUCUUUGUCUGAAAAAUAUUAUGAAUAAAACAAUUCAAAAUACAACUUUCAACAACGGAUCUCUUGGCUCUC
rnacentral:misc_RNA from 1 species